UCUCUUUGUUUUUUAUUAAAUUUUAAUUUAAAAUUUUACAUUUUUUUUAAGCUAGAGAUGCAUAUAUGGUAAAUUUACAAAACAAAAUCCAACGCUAAUUACCAAGUCUCUUUUUGCUUUUAAAUUUGUAAGGUGCAGCAGAUAUCAUAAUAAUUUCUCUUUCCUUCCUUCGGGUUUAGUUUUCUUUGCAAUUUCUCCAUGUUUUUCAGAAAACCUUUACUACCAACUCCAUGGAAAGGCCACCACAGAGGAAAUAACUUCUCCAAAACCAAUGUAACACAUUAUUAUUACACCCUUUUCUCUGUCAGAUACAUUCUCUUCCUCUUAAUCUUCCUUUCUUCCUGCUUUCUUUUACUUAUUGCUCCCUUUUGCUUUUCCUCUACUUACACUGAACUGCUUUUCCCCAAUACUACAACAAGAAAAUGGCUGCCAAUCACCCCCACUACUUGCCCUGGAAACCUGUCACUCUUUGUGUAUCAGCUGCCACCUGACUUCAACCUGGGUCUCCUCCGCGACUGCACCCACCUCAACGUUUACACGGACAUGUGUCCCCAUGUCGCCAACCACGGCCUUGGUCAACCGAUGUCCUCUGCCGGCUCCUGGUUCGCCACCCACCAGUUUCUUGCUGAGAUGAUCUUCCACGCCCGACUCGAGAACCACCCAUGUCGCACCUGGGAUGCCACCCUUGCCAAUCUCUUCUACGUCCCCUUUUAUGGUGGUCUCUACGCAUCCAGCAAGUUCCGCGAAGCCAAUCUAACCGCACGCGAUGAAUUAGCCGUUAGAUUAGUUGAGUACCUCCAAAUGCAGCCAUGGUGGCAUAGGCAUCUGGGGAAGGACCAUUUUUUAGCCCUGGGGAGAACCGCAUGGGAUUUCAUGAGGAACACCAAUGGUGGGCCGGACUUCGGAGCCAACUGCCUCCUAAAUUUGCCACCUGUCAAAAACAUGUCGGUGCUGACCGUAGAGAGACAGCCAUGGCAAGGAUCAAAUCAAUACGGCGUGCCGUACCCUUCCUAUUUCCACCCAUCCAGUGUCGUUCAGAUGAAUGCGUGGCAGCAGAAGAUGAUUCGAGCAGAGAGGAACCACCUAUUUUCUUUCAUUGGAGGUCCUCGGAAGGGGGUGGAGAAAGCCGCCGUACGAGAUGAGUUAAUAAAGCAAUGCAAUGAGUCAACUCGGUGCAAGCUUCUGAUAUGCGGGAGGAACGGCGACAGUAAAUGCCAUGAACCGUUGGAGGUGAUUAAGGUAUUAAGUCAGUCUCAUUUUUGUUUGCAAGCGCCAGGAGACUCGUUCACCAGACGAUCGACAUUCGACUCAGUGCUGGCGGGUUGCAUACCGGUGUUCUUCUCGAAGCACACGGCGUACACCCAGUACGGCUGGUAUUUUCCAGCGAAUGCGAGUGCAUAUUCGGUUUACAUAGAUGAGAGUGAGAUUGAGAAGAAAAGCAUAGAGGAAGAGCUCUCGAAGAUUUCGAGCGAUAGAGUGGAGAGAAUGCGUAGAAAAAUAAUAGAGGUGAUGCCAACUCUAACUUAUGCCCACCCGAAUUCUAGCAACAUUCGAUUUCGCGACGCGGUUGAUGUUGCACUUACAGCUCUAGUUCAGUUUAAGCAUGCACCCUCCAAAUCAUAAGGGAUGUUAUGAAAGUAGUGUUUUCUUCUCUCUUCUACAUUGAUAUAAUUAAGAAUUUAUUUACCCAAAAGAUCAAUAAAAAAAGUAUAAUAAUUAUAAAUUUUACUUAAUAUGAGAAUAAA
rnacentral:misc_RNA from 1 species